rnacentral:rRNA from 1 species
CCUACGGGAGGCAGCAGUGGGGGAUAUUGGACAAUGGGGGAAACCCUGAUCCAGCGACGCUGCGUGAGUGAAGAAGUAUCUCGGUAUGUAAAGCUCUGUCAGCAGGGAAGAAAGAAAUGACGGUACUUGACCAAGAAGCCCCGGCUAACUACGUGCCAGCAGCCGCGGUAAUACGUAGGGGGCAAGCGUUAUCCGGAAUUACUGGGUGUAAAGGGGGCGUAGAAGGUGAGGCAAAUCUGGAGUGAAAGGCGGGGGCCCAACCCCCGGACUGUUCUGGAAACUUUGUAACUUGAGUGCAGGAGAGGUAAGCGGAAUUCCUAGUGUAGCGGUGAAAUGCGUAGAUAUUAGGAGGAACACCAGUGGCGAAGGCGGCUUACUGGACUGUAACUGACGUUGAGGCUCGAAAGCGUGGGGAGCAAACAGGAUUAGAUACCCUUGUAGUC